rnacentral:rRNA from 1 species
UACGUAGGUGGCAAGCGUUGUCCGGAUUUACUGGGCGUAAAGAGCGCGCAGGCGGUCGGUCAAGUCGCGUGUGAAAGCCCCCGGCUUAACUGGGGAGGGUCACGCGAUACUGAUCGACUCGAAGGCAGGAGAGGGUAGUGGAAUUCCCGGUGUAGUGGUGAAAUGCGUAGAUAUCGGGAGGAACACCAGUGGCGAAGGCGACUACCUGGCCUGUUCUUGACGCUGAGGCGCGAAAGCUAGGGGAGCAAACGGG